CACAGGCUUCCCUCAAAACAUCUCACAAGUCAGAUGCAGGCAUGAGGACAGAUGGAGAAACAUCACAGAGCCAUCAUUUCUGGAAAUUGACUCCACAUGUAAGAGGAGCACUGGAUGAAUGCUUAGAGCAGAUAUCUAAAACCCAGAGAGGAGCUCAGCUGACAGAGCUGGGAUUCAGAGCUAUGCAUUCCAGCUCCCCAACACAGGCUUGAGCAGGCAAGCACGCACAGGAUCAUGAUAGAGAGAAACAUGUACUAGAAAGAACAUAGAAGAAUAUGAGAAGAAUAGAAACAGGAGGUGACAUGAGCUGGAUGAAGCAUGAAGGAUGAGAGUCAUGAAACACUUGCAGGGAAGACUGUUCUAGCCGGUCCUGACGUCAGAGGAGUGCACAUGCAAGGCUCUCCUGACCUCACAUCUCCCUGUGCUCUUCUAACAAAAAUAAAAGAAA